rnacentral:tRNA from 1 species
GGGUGUUUGGUCUAGUGGUAUGAUUCUCGCUUUGGUGUAAGAGGUCAUGAGUUUAAUUCUCAUAACACCCC